GGGCCGUUAGCUCAGUCGGUAGAGCAGUUGGCUUUUAACCAAUUGGUCGAAGGUUCAAAUCCUUCACGGCCCACCA
rnacentral:tRNA from 1 species